rnacentral:lncRNA from 1 species
AAUGGUAAAGAUGUAUUUAGGUGCAAGGUAGGCUAAACAAAGAUAAUUUACGGUUUUAAGUGUGGCGAUGGAGAGGGUAAUUGAUGGCAAACGAUAGAGAAUCAACUUGCUGGAUCGUAAGUACAAAGAUGAAUGAAUAUCUUUCAACUUUUUUUUAAUUUCGAAUUUCUUCCUCUUUUUUUUUCAAUUACAAAAUACUAAAUAUAAGGAAAUACUUGAAUUCACAAUUUUUUUUAAUUUUUUUUCAAUUCACGAACCUAAUUCAAAUUCUUCGAUCUUUGGCACUCCUCGUUUUCAAGCUCUG